rnacentral:rRNA from 1 species
GACGAACCGAGCGAACGUUAUUCGGAAUCACUGGGCUUAAAGGGCGCGUAGGCGGGCCUUCAAGUCAGGGGUGAAAGCCCACGGCUCAACCGUGGAAGUGCCUCUGAUACUGGGAGCCUCGAGGGAGGUAGGGGCGUGCGGAACUUCCGGUGGAGCGGUGAAAUGCGUAGAUAUCGGAAGGAACACCGGUGGCGAAAGCGGCGCGCUGGACCUCUUCUGACGCUGAGGCGCGAAAGCCAGGGGAGCAAACGGG